rnacentral:rRNA from 1 species
GACGAACGCUGGCGGCGUGCUUAACACAUGCAAGUCGAACGGAAAGGCCCUGCUUUUGUGGGGUGCUCGAGUGGCGAACGGGUGAGUAACACGUGAGUAACCUGCCCUUGACUUUGGGAUAACUUCAGGAAACUGGGGCUAAUACCGGAUAGGAGCUCCUGCUGCAUGGUGGGGGUUGGAAAGUUUCGGCGGUUGGGGAUGGACUCGCGGCUUAUCAGCUUGUUGGUGGGGUAGUGGCUUACCAAGGCUUUGACGGGUAGCCGGCCUGAGAGGGUGACCGGCCACAUUGGGACUGAGAUACGGCCCAGACUCCUACGGGAGGCAGCAGUGGGGAAUAUUGCACAAUGGGCGGAGGCCUGAUGCAGCAACGCCGCGUGCGGGAUAACGGCCUUCGGGUUGUAAACCGCUUUCGCCUGUGACGAAGCGUGAGUGACGGUAAUGGGUAAAGAAGCACCGGCUAACUACGUG